rnacentral:rRNA from 1 species
CGUUUCCGGGCCUUGUACACACCGCCCGUCACACCACGAAAGUGGUUUGUACCCGAAGUCCCCAAUUCAACCCUUUGGGAGAUAGGGCCGAAGGUAUGAAUCAUGAUUGGGGUG